rnacentral:rRNA from 1 species
GGUACCUGAAGAAAAAGCAUCGGCUAACUCCGUGCCAGCAGCCGCGGUAAUACGGAGGAUGCAAGUGUUAUCCGGAAUCAUUGGGCGUAAAGGGUCCGCAGGUGGCCAAUCAAGUCGGCUGUUAAAGACCGGGGCUUAACUCCGGGCAGGCAGUGGAAACUGAUUAGCUAGAGUACGGUAGGGGUAGAGGGAAUUCCCAGUGUAGCGGUGAAAUGCGUAGAUAUUGGGAAGAACACCGGUGGCGAAAGCGCUCUACUAGGCCGAAACUGACACUGAGGGACGAAAGCUAGGGUAGCGAAAGGGAUUAGAUACCCCUGUAGUCUUAGCUGUAAACGAUGGAUACUAGGUGUAGCUCGUAUCGACCCCAGCUGUGCCAAAGUUAACGCGAUAAGUAUCCCGCCUGGGGAGUACGCACGCAAGUGUGAAACUCAAAGGAAUUGACGGGGGCCCGCACAAGCGGUGGAGUGUGUGGUUUAAUUCGAUGCAACGCGAAGAACCUUACCAGGGCUUGACAUGUCGCGAAUCUAGCGGAAACGUUAGAGUGCCUUAGGGAAUGCGAACACAGGUGGUGCAUGGCUGUCGUCAGCUCGUGUCGUGAGAUGUUGGGUUAAGUCCCGCAACGAGCGCAACCCUCGUCCUUAGUUGCCAAUAUUAAGUUAGGCACUCUAGGGAUACUGCCGGGGACAACUCGGAGGAAGGUGGGGAUGACGUCAAGUCAGCAUGCCCCUUACGUCCUGGGCGACACACGUACUACAAUGGUUGGGACAAAGGGCAGCAAGCUCGCGAGAGUAAGCGAAUCUCAUCAAACCCAGCCACAGUUCAGAUUGCAGGCUGCAACUCGCCUGCAUGAAGUAGGAAUCGCUAGUAAUCGCAGGUCAGCAUACUGCGGUGAACUCGUUCCCGGGCCUUGUACACACCGCCCGUCACACCAUGGAAGCUGGCUACGCCCGAAGUCGUUACCCUAACCCUAAGGGGAGGGGGAUGCCGAAGGUAGAGCUAGUGACUGGGGUGAAGUCGUAACAAGGUAGCCGUACCUGAAGGUGUGGCUGGAUCACCUCCUUU